rnacentral:rRNA from 1 species
UACGUAGGGCGCAAGCGUUAUCCGGAAUUAUUGGGCGUAAAGAGCUCGUAGGCGGUUUGUCGCGUCUGCCGUGAAAGUCCGGGGCUCAACUCCGGAUCUGCGGUGGGUACGGGCAGACUAGAGGUAUGCAGGGGAGACUGGAAUUCCUGGUGUAGCGGUGAAAUGCGCAGAUAUCAGGAGGAACACCGAUGGCGAAGGCAGGUCUCUGGGCCACUACUGACGCUGAGAAGCGAAAGCAUGGGGAGCGAACAGG